CAACCCUCAAGCCCAGGCUUGGUGUUGGGGCAUCUAUAGCUACGCUAUAGGCUCUUAAAGUCAGUGGCGGUCUCGCUGGGGCCCCGAGCGUAGUGAAUUUUUCUCGCUAUGGGCUGUCCUCGGCGGGCUUUACUAGCCGUAAAACCCCCCACAAUUUAUUACA
rnacentral:misc_RNA from 1 species